UGCAACGCGAAGAACCUUACCUGGGUUUGACAUGCACCAGAUCGCCUCAGAGAUGGGGUUUCCCUUGUGGCUGGUGUGCAGGUGGUGCAUGGCUGUCGUCAGCUCGUGCCGUGAGAUGUUGGGUUAAGUCCCGCAACGAGCGCAACCCUUAUCCUGUGUUGCCAGCACGUGAUGGUGGGGACUCGCAGGAGACUGCCGGGGUCAACUCGGAGGAA
rnacentral:rRNA from 1 species